AACGUAGGAGACAAACGUUAUCCGGAGUUACUGGGCGUAAAGGGCGUGUAGGUGGUAAUGUAAGUCUGGCGUGAAAUUUUUCGGCUUAACCGGGAAAGGUCGUCGGAUACUGCACGACUAGAGGACGGUAGAGGCGUGUGGAACUCCGGGUGGAGCGGUGAAAUGCGUUGAGAUCCGGAGGAACGCCCGCGGCGAAAGCGCGUCCCUGGACCCCGCCUGACGCUGAGACGCGAAAGCCAGGGGAGCGAACGGG
rnacentral:rRNA from 1 species